ensembl:lncRNA
AGGCUGCAAUCCUCAUUUUCCCAAAUAAAACUUAACUCACAACUCUCACAGUGUGCGCUUUUUCUCGGUCGACAUAUUUUAAGGAAUAAAUUACAUCCUGCCUGAUAAACUUUGCAGACUGUUAAAAGAGGGACUACUUCCCAGCUCAUUCAAUGAGGAAGGCAUAACACUGAAACUAAAGUUCGCCAAGGACAUACCAACAAAAGAAAAUUAGAGGUCCGUCUCUCACAUUACAUGCAAAAACCUGAUGCAAAAUUUUAGCAAACCAAAGUCAACAAUAUACAGAAAAGAAAACACACCAUGGCCGAAUUGUGUCUAAGAAAGAAAGAAAGAAAAAAAAAAAAACAAAAAACCACACAAGUGUGUUUAAACAUUCAAAAAGCAAUGUAUUGACAACUUCCAGAACAAGCUGCCAUGGCUGUUGGGGGUAGGUACUCACCUUGCAGACUUAAGUACCACAACGGGCUGAAUUUCGUAAAGCAGAAGCUCGUGGAGGCUCUCCGGGCUGAGCAGGAGCUGUAGCUCCAGCCCCCAGGGCCAGGCGGAGCAGGAGCUGGAGUCACAGCAAGACUAAGAAAACCUGCCUGCUGCCUUUCGAGUGACCCAAAGUCUCCAAAUUGAGAUUCUGCAGGAGGCCAGCUGCUAGUGCGCCUGCGCUGAAUGUAUGCGGCCAGCUGGGUCUGGGACCGCCCCUGCGUCCUGAGCUGCGAUGGACGCAGCUGCCCACAGUAGCCUCAAGACAACUUCUGGCCUGGACCACCCUGGUUAAAGGGACUGCCGCUUCUUUGGACACAAGCAACCUGGCUGACAAGGGUGGCACUGCGACGCCAGGCUUCAUCUGUGGUCGCCUCGCCUCUGCCUGGAGUGCGUGCCCUAAGCCCAGGCCCUUCAGCCAAGGGCUCAGAUAAAGCGUUCACCCGCUACCUGGUUAAUGACGCAUCCUGUUUGCCCCCUGCCCUUUUGUGUUGGCCAGUGCCUUUGCUUCCAGGCCCGUAUCCCAGCCUUCCACGAGAACGGCGGGUCUCCCCAUCCAUGCGUCUUCCCCCAAACCGCUUCCAAGGGAGGCAGUGACCACCUGUGUGGAUGGUGGGACACUCGGUGUCUGGGGUUGUCACCACGACCCGGGUGCUGGGCUGCCUGCAGACGCUAACGUGCUGAGAAUCACUGCUGUCUGGGCCUCUCACAGUGGCAGCCUGCUGCUCUGGGACGCCUUCGCAGGCAUUUGGGUAGAACUCAGCAGUGGAGCAGCAGGGUCAGCUGUGAUUAAUCUGCAGAAUUACCAAACAAGCUUUCUGUGGCUUGGAAAGGACUGGAAGGUACCGCGCCCCGCAGUUGCUGAGCUCAGAGGGGCAGUGCACCUGCGUGUGAACUUCACAUCUCAAACUAUCUUUUUUUGCCUCUUGCUCUGCACGUCCCUUUAAAGCAUUUGGAAUCAAGUGGUGCAUGCGUGUUGUUUCAGUCGUCUCUGACUCUCUGCGACCCCAUGGAUGAUAACCCACCAGGCUCCUCUGUCCACAGGAUUAUCCUGGCAAAAAUACUGAAGUGGUCUCUUGGCUGCUCCUCCUGUGAGGACCAGUUCCUCCCUUGAACCCGCCCUUUGGAACUCAGGGAAGGCCAUGGAGGCUGGAGUCUUGCCCACAAGAAAUGAAGACAGAAAAGCCCCGGCACCAGGGAGCCCCACAGGGCCCUGCUCGGUUUCACUACUCGCCCCUUAAUUUGCUGCUUGAUUCCAGCAUUUUACAGCAGUGUAAAUUGUAAUGUUUUUAUAUUUUGUUUACUUGCUAAACAACAUUUUUGUGAAAGGGCAGGUAGUCUGCCAAGAUAACAAAAUGUGCAAUAAAAUUAGAAGUAGAAAUGUGGUAUGAACGGAUGUACCAGAGGCAAAUUACAGACGGAUGCUUUGCCUUUUCAAAGGGGGCCUGUUCUCUUCAGCUGAUUGCUGCACGGGUUCAUUAGCGUCAGCUUUUUUGCUGGUUUUUAAAGAGAAAGCUGAGGACUUAACUUCCCUGAUGGCACAAUGGUUAACAAUCCGCCUGCCAAUGCAGAAGGCACAGGUUGGAUCCCUGGUCCAAGA